rnacentral:rRNA from 1 species
AUUGAACGCUGGCGGCAGGCCUAACACAUGCAAGUCGAGCGGAUGACGGGAGCUUGCUCCUUGAUUCAGCGGCGGACGGGUGAGUAAUGCCUAGGAAUCUGCCUGGUAGUGGGGGACAACGUUUCGAAAGGAACGCUAAUACCGCAUACGUCCUACGGGAGAAAGCAGGGGACCUUCGGGCCUUGCGCUAUCAGAUGAGCCUAGGUCGGAUUAGCUAGUAGGUGAGGUAAUGGCUCACCUAGGCGACGAUCCGUAACUGGUCUGAGAGGAUGAUCAGUCACACUGGAACUGAGACACGGUCCAGACUCCUACGGGAGGCAGCAGUGGGGAAUAUUGGACAAUGGGCGGAAGCCUGAUCCAGCCAUGCCGCGUGUGUGAAGAAGGUCUUCGGAUUGUAAAGCACUUUAAGUUGGGAGGAAGGGAAGUAAGUUAAUACCUUGCUGUUUUGACGUUACCGACAGAAUAAGCACCGGCUAACUCUGUGCCAGCAGCCGCCGUAAAAC